CUAAAAACUCCAUUCAACACUUGUUAGAAGCAUCCACUUCCAAAUUAUUCCACAUGAAGGAAAGAGGGCAGCAUCAAUUGCCCCAAAAUCCAGCAGACCUCACAUAAUAAUUCAACGAAACAUCUACCACAAAGAGCAGGUUUAUUCCAAUCACUCCAGCAUUUCAUUUUAUUUGUGCUUUCUGUUCUACUUUUUCUUCUUCCGCAAAAAAGAUCAGGUCUUUGGGGUUUUGCCUUGAUUAUCAAUCUUUUCUUCAGUUUAGUCUUAAGAUUCAUUUCAGAAAGGUGAAAACAAACUAAGGUUGGGUUCUGAUUUGUUCUCUAUUAUUAAUUUGUUUAUUUUGAAUUUCUUACGUGACUUCUAAGUUCUCUUCAUUUUUUUUUCUUCUAUUUUACUUUCUUUAAAAGAUUGGUCAUUAAAAGACUGAACCCCAACAGGUUAUUGCAUAUCUAUUAUUUAUACCAGUAGAAUGAACAAUAAAAUUUGUUACUUAGGGUCUGCUGACUCCUUUUUUGGUUUGAAUGUUAUAAAUGCAGUUAUCUUGUGGUAAUAAGCUUGUGAAAAAAUGUAUUCCGGACAAAGAAACAAACCAAAUUUGCAUAUGCUUGUUAAUCGAUCUCUGUCCUUCAGAGUUAGAUUAUAAACUUCAUGUAUACCGGGAGAUGAAGACAAGUAGUACUUGGAACAAAAAAAAGAGGUAAAAAUUGCUACUCCUUAUAGAUAGCUAUUUUGUAUAUGAAUUAUUUCCAGUAAUGUUAGAUUGAAUGUUUAGUUACAUGAAAAUCUUAGUUUUGUCGUGCUGCUUCUUGAAUUUAUCCUCAAAAAGAGAAAAAAACGGAAGUUAAUUGGUCAGCACAACUGAAGUCUAAGUAGUGUUCUCAGUUUGUUAAAGCAUCUGUUAUUUUUAUUUUACUAUUUUAAAAAUAUACGCUCUAGCGAAACCAAUAACUAUAUAGAUUCAAAAUUGAUGCAAAAAGGAGAAGUUCUCUACCUGAGAAUAUCAAGUGUAAUUUUUUAUAUUUAAGGUUAUGAUUUUUAUGCCAAUUAAAUGUACCUGUUGUAUCCUGAUAUGUGUCUGUUUACCUCAGGGGCGGAUCUACCUUAUGAGGUAGGGGUACCACGGCACCCGCUCGCUUCAAUAAAAUCCUUACUACGUACAUAAUAUCUCUGUGAAGAAACGUAUAUAUGGAUAGAGUGACACCUAGAAGUCACAAAGUGAAAGCGGGUGUCAUUGGUUUAGCCUUCCCUUUGAAGGCUUUCUUUGGCCUCAUGAAUGCAAGUUUGAUUCCCUGUUGGAGCAGCUCCUUUGAUUUUUUAUUUUUUCUACUUAUUAAGAUUUUCUUUAUUUUCAAUUGAGCCCUAGGGCCUCACCUCUUUUCCUUCUUUUUCGGCUCUUUCCCUCCUUAUCUUACUUUUAUUACUUGCUAAGUCUCUCUUCUUCAUUUUUUUAACUUUCAGUCCUCAUUUUUUUUUUCUAUUAUUAUACCUUACUUUAUGAACAAUUAUUUUCUAUAGGUAAUUUGAAUUGAUUUUAAUUAGCAUAUAAUUUUUUUUUAUUUUUAAUGAAACGAUAUUAAUUUAUAUAUUGAAAUAUAAUUUGAGCAAUAUCUUCUAUUGGGUUUUGAAAAAAAAAUUAAAUGGCUUGAUUGAUAGUCGUUUUGAGUCAAAUAUCAUAGGUUGAAUGUUGAAGGUUUUUCUUUGAAAAUAAUUGUCAUAUAACUCAACAAUUAAGAUAGAAAAAUAAACAAAAAACAAUACAAGUAAAUUAAUCUAGUCAAACAAAGAAUAUAUAGUGUAGUUAAGCUACUCUUUAAGCAAAUAUUUAUAUUGGAGGCGCUCUUUCAUGAAAUAUUAUUUUUCUUUUGCAUUUUUAUUUAGAAUGUGUUUAAAUUAAGCGUUAAAAAUUUGAACUAAAAUAACUUAUUUUUUGUGAAUAAAAUGCCUAUUCAAAUUAACCAAAAACUAAGGAACCGACCCAUUAUUCCUAAUUUGUCUUUGUAGCUACUGAUAUGUAUACUGUAUGCAUAACAUGGUGGCACCCGCAACCUUCGAAUCCUGGAUCCGCCUCUGGUUUACCUUAUUGUUCAACCUACCUGGGCUACUGUUUGUCGAAUUUACAAUAGAAAUAUAGUAAGUGAUAAUUUUGUUAAUGUUUGAAAGUGAAGUUUUUGUAGCGACAAUGCUUGGUGAACAUGUUGAUGAGAUUUGAAUUGUUGGGAGUAUCUACCAUAACUAUGUAUCAGCAUAAAUUUCAACAGUUUCUAUCCCUGAAUUUCUUUACAACGAGGCAUUUGAAAUCACCUUUUGUGGGUUCCAAUCAUAAUUUCCUUAAAACGUUGAUUAAUUUAUACUAUACUAUCAAUGCAUAGUAUUGAUAAGUCGAGUUAAGCAUAAUGUAGUGAUGGCAUAAAGUGGCUAAUUUUCACCCCAAAUUUUGGCCUUAAAAACUUUCAAUCAUGACCAAGUCGAAUAGCUGCCCCGCCAGAACUUUCUUUUGCAUAACUUUUAAUCUUUUAAUAUCCUUAGUUAUAGAUGCAAUUUUGGACUUUGGUUCGACUCCUACUCUGGAUUUCUGUAUAUAUAGUUAGGACUAACAGGUAAAUAUUCCUGAUUUGGGAAUUUUCCUGAAAUAUUAAAAUGUACUGCACAAUAAAUUAAAUAUAAAGCACUCAGAAUAUUUAAAAUAUUUUUCUGAUUAUUUAGUCUUCCAUUGUGGCAAUUUGCAACAGAUUGCUCUUCGAAUUUUUGGUUUACAUGAUUAGAGGUGUAAACCCAGAUGGUCCCUUAUGACAUUUUCUCUACACAGGCAAACUUACAUGUCUGCACAACUGAGUAUCAUUUCAUUUUUCUAAUUUUCUUCGACAUUUAAUUGUUGCAUUUCCUCGAAAGACCCGUGUCAGUAUUAAUUAAAAUAAUUUUCUUUAAAAAUUAAUUUAGCCAAUCCUUAUUCGUCAGCAAAAUGUUUAUGCUUGAAUGAACCACAAAUAGAACUACAGUACAAAUUAGAAGAAAUAAUGACUAUCACCAGCCCUACAAUAUUGAUAAUUGAUAAAUGAUCAUUAAAGGAACAAAAAAAAUGAUUCAAAAAGAUCUUUAAGUCUAAGGAAGGACAUUGUUCUGGAUAUGUAAAUUUAUAAUAGUGUUGACCUACAUGUUUACAUCUUGUCCACGUUUCUAUGUUUUUAUUUUUUGAUAAAUUUAGUUGGAAAUAUAAUGGCCACACUAUUUUGAUUUCACAGGUUCUUCAAAAUGCUGGCCUGGGAAGCAGAAACAAUGCUUCUACUAAAAUAAAAUACAUGACUUCGACUAAAAUAGGUGAUUCUGCACUUCUUUAGUCUAUUGUCAUAUGCUUAUUCAUAAUGCUAAAUAGUUAUGCUUUAUAUUUCAUGUUAUUGUGUUAAUAUGUCUCUACUUUAGUAAUAAAUUUAUAUGCCUACAAAUAACAGAAAGAUGGACAACGCAACGUUCAUAUCUUGGUGGAAAAAAUAGUGAUAAAUGCCUUAGACAACAUAUAUCACAUGGAGAGAAAUGGUACAUAAUUAAUUUUCCAUAAGACUCUUAAACAUCAUAAGAUUUGAUGCUAUAGAAAAACAUUCAUUAACUUCUAGCACUAGCAAAUAUUUUUAUCUCAGCUAUAAUGGUUCCUUAUACUUCGACAUGGUACAAAUAUAUAAAUUUGAUAUUUUUAGGUUAAGACAAUAAUUCAACUUUACUUCAGUCUUUAAACAAUUUUUUUUAUGUUAAAUCAAAAAUUUAUAAGCUCCUUGGGCCCGGGCUACCGCCAACUAGUAUUUAAGAAGAGGGAAAUGUGCUGCAUGUGUCUCCACCUUUAUCUAUUGUACAUUUCAACUCUAGGAACAAUUCCUAGAGUUGUACCGAUAAAUAUUCACAUUCCAUAAAAUGCUCUUGGAAUUUUUUCGUGAUUUUUGUCCAAAUUUAUUAACAAAUGGCCAAAUAUUAAUAACUUUGAAAAGCUGGCUAAAACUUAAUAUCAGUCUAAAAAUAGGUAUUUUCCAAUUUCUUGUAGAAAUGACACUAGGUAGCCACUCUAAAGGGCUAUUAUUUAAAAAUUAGCAAAUACGUCCUGAAUUUUAGUUUUAAAGUACUGACUAAUCUCUAAACAGCUUCCUGAGAAUGGUUAUCUAUGCCCUUGCCCCCAAUUUCUUCCAUUCAUUAACCGCGGAUUACGUCCAAGAUCUUUUGCAGUCGGCCCAUUGCCUAAAUGCAUUUAACCAGCAACGGAGUCACGGCCCACUUCGCUGCACUAAGAAUUGCUGGUAAAAGUUGGAAGGCCCAAACAGAACUCAUUUCCAGAAGAAAAUUAACUGAAAUAGUCAUCCAUCCAACCGCUUCAACUAAAAAUAGCCGGUGAAAGUAUAGUAUAAGUAUAAUUUAUAUAUUAUAUAUGUAUAAUUAAUAUAUAAACUAUGUAUAUGGUUAGAAAAAAAUAAACAAUGAAUAUGGAGGGCUAUUUGUGUAAACAUUUAGCAGCAUAUGAUAGUGCCUAGAUAGUCAGUGGCCCAAAAGCAUAUAGACAAAUUUAGGAUUUAAUCAGAGUUAAUAAAUUCUGAAUGAGUGUAAUCUUAUAUGUAUAUGUUUAAUUCACAUUUUUAUUUAUACAAAAUGUAAAAUUCUUUGAAUCGAUGAAAAUAAUAAGUUCAAUUGAACCUAAAGAAUUAGCUCUAACUCUGUCUUUGCUAGAUAAGAAGAGCAAGGGCGUAUGUAGCAUUAAGGUGAUAGGUACAACUGAAUCCAUAACUUUUGAUGAAGAUCAUAAAUUUAUAUAUAAAAAUAGUAGAUAUGAACUCAUAACUUUACAAAUAUAAUAAUUUCAAUGUUAAUCAUCUUAAAUUUUGAAUCCAUAAAAUUUAAUCCUAAAAUCCUCUCUCAAAAUAAAUAAAUAAAAAGGACAACUCGAUGCAGUAAGUUAAGUUAUACACGAGAAAACAAUAUGCAUUUCUCAAAUACUAGAAGAAGACAGGGUUGGUAGAAUGGGGCUCACAAUUAUUCCACGUAGUAAAACAUCUCUGUGUGUAAUUCGUGUACGUGGAUAUCGUUCCUAUUUUUUUAAGUGAAACUUUGGCUACUCCUCUUUAAUUUCUUCCAUUUGUAUAACAAGACAAGAAAAAUACUGAUUGAGAUGAUAGAUCAGUAUCGCAUUUAAUUUGGAUCGUAGUAUCUGCUAUUCAGUUUAGAUUAAUUAGUAGAGUAUAAGAUUCUUUUUGUAUAAUUACGUGUCUUAGUGCUGACGAAUUUCCCAACAGUUCACUACACUCAAAAGUCUCAUUCGGGGAUUUUAAUCAAAUAUUGAGAUAAGGUUUCGACGGCGUCUCUAUCAUAUUGUUGAUAUAUUAUGAGAAAACGACACUUACAAAUUCCAAUAAAAUCUAUAAGACUGUUACUCUCUAUGAUCCACUUUAAUUGAUUUUUUAAUUUUUUUUUUAUGAUUCAUAAUAUUUGAUUUUUCAUAUAUAAAGAAGGAGUUAACUUUUUUUAAAAAAAACAAAAUUGCCCUUAUUAGAGUAAAGAGCCUAGGAGUAUUUUAAUUAAGGUUUCAACAUCAACAAACCUAGUAUAAUCCACAUAAUGGUGUCUGGGGAGGAUAUUGUGUACGCAGCCUUACCCCUACCUUGUUGAGAUAGAGAGGUUAUUUCCAAUAUUUUAAUUAAGAUUAAUAUGGUCAAUUUCAUUGUUAAUUAAUGCUAAAAAGUAAAUUUUUUAAUACGUGAAAAUAAUAAAAAAAAAAAUCAAUUAAAGUGAAUUGGAAAAAGUAUUAUUUGUUAUAUUUCAGAUCCAUGAAAAAGAUAAGAGACAGUCUUUAAGGCUUGUUACACAAUUGAAAAGAGGAUUUGUUAUGGGAAAUGUGUUUUUGUGUUUCGUAUAACUUGAAGUUGAACAAAGAUUGGAACUUUCAAUUGGUUUUGUUUUUCCUAAUAUUCCUAGACCUGAAAGAUGCUUAUAACAUUAGAGCUAGCUAAUACAGUUGACAUCUUUGCUCAAUUUAUUUAUAUGGACAAAUGAAACAACAUAAAACGAUACCCUUACAUUGAGGUCGAAAGUGAGACUAUCAGGCCACUGACCCCUAAUAUCAUUUAGGAAUUUUUACCUAGCUAUACUAUAUUAGAAACUAUACCCAGAAUCUCCAUCUUCUCUCUUCCCACCAUUGCCGACAGCUUUAUAUUAUUAAAAAAUCGUCAAUUGCAUCGUUCUUUUGUUGGGAGACUGGACAACAACACUGAAAAUGAGGAAAUAUUCAGAAAUUGUAUGAUAACUGUAUCAUAAUUGUAUUUGAACUGUAUCAGAUACAACAAUGCCUAAAACAUAAUUGUAUCAUACUUGUAUCACAAUUGAAUCUAACUUGUAUGUGGUACAUUAAUACCCAAAAUAAUACCUGAUACAAUACUAAUACAUUAAUAUAUAAUUAUCAUAUAUUUAUGAUACAAACUGUAAAAUAUGUCACGAACUCACAACUGCUCAUAACAAUAUACAAUAAAUAUACAAUUAUCAUACAUUUGUUAUACAAUUCCUUCAACAAUUAUGAUAUAUAUAUAGAAUUAUAAUACAAUCGCGAUACAUUUCUGAAAAAUUGUGAUACAACUAUGAUCUUCAUCUUCUUCAAGUUUCAAUCACAACUCUACAUUAAAAAUCUAAUAUAAUCGUAUUAGUAUUGUAUCAAGCAUUGUUUUGGGUAUUGAUGUAUCAUAUACAAGUUAUUUUAGAAAGAAAGAAAAUAAGAUUCAAAACUUACCCACAUGAUUGUAGAGCAAUAUUCUGAAUUUCGUCUACAUUGUAUCAAUAAGAAAUAGAGAUUUUGGGUGAUUAGUAAGAAAGAGAGAAAUUUGGUUUGGAAAUCUUUGGAAAAGGAAAAGAAUUAGAAAUUCGGGGGGAGGGGUUUGAGGGGGAGGGGGUAUAAAAAUAAAAGAGAGAUUUUAGGUGAUUAUUAAGAAAGAGAGAAAAUAUUUUUGACAUCCUUUGGAAGAGAAACAUAAUCUUAAAUAUGUGGGGGCUUAUUGAAAAUUGGGUGGGUGUCGUGUAACUAACACGCUAAAAUUGAGGGAUCUUGAUUUUUUUUUCUUUUUUAUGGUUUUGUAUAUAACUUAUAAUUAUAGAUAUACAAAGUAAUUAAUAAGGAAUCUAAAUAAGGGUGGUAAAUAGGUUUAUUAUAGUAUAGCUAGGUAAACAUUUGUCAGUUUUAAUUUUGUUGGGCUUUCGGAAUACACAGCCUCAGGCCCAAAGCAGAAAACAUGUGUGAGGCCCAAUUAUUUAUUCUGUAUAUAGUUAGUCGUAGCUACUCUUUGUAACACUUAGCCAAUUUAUUUUGUAGCCAUUGUUUAUAAUGUGUACUCAAUUUGUAAGACAUCUAGACCGGGUUAUUAGGUUGAUAUAAAUACAUAAGGGCCCAGCUGUACUAGGCAGGCCGUGCACUAUUCAGUUAUUUUUUUCGUGUUCUCUCUGUUACUAUCUGAUGAGAAAGAUCUAGAAUCCCUAAGCGACCAUUAACAAAUCCCUCCAUUUUACUCGAUUCUUCUACUAUUAACAUGGUAUCAGAGUGGUGAACCCGUUAGUCCUCGUCUUUUUCUAUCGAGCCGUGUUACCUCUAUCAGUUUCUGUUAAGUUUGAUUUUCAUCGUGGCUUUGAGAUAUCUCUUAUUUUCGAUCGAAGAUUCAUUUUUGUGGCUUUGCCUUCUCCUAUAUGUCAUCGGUAAAGCAGUGGUGCUGGUUUAAAUUGAGAUUUUCUGGUAUUCAUCGGAGUUUUAUAUGUUCUGCUCCGACCUAGGGUUUAUCUGCAGUUAAUCAGAGUUUCGUCGGAGAUAUUGCUCACGUAUCCAGGCCUUUACCUCUUCAGGUCGUGAAGAAGGCUGGUAUUCCUAUUCCUUAUCCGUGUUAUUGUACCUGAAUUGUUCAUCAUAUUCUGUGGUUCUAGGUGUUGAGAAUUAUUGUCAAUUAUUUGUUGGGUUAAAACUUCUCACUUGAAUUGUUGUUCAACUACAUUUGCUACCAUGACUGGUCCUAUUGAUUCUUCUACUGGUGCUAGUGGAUCCUCUAAGUAUACUCCAGAUCCUUCAUCCCCUUUAUUUCUCAUCUCUUCUGAUGUUCCCGGAGUGUCUCUAGUAUCUGUUCCAUUUUCAGGAACUGGUUUGGAGGUUGGAGACGUAGUAUGACAAUAUCCUUGUCUGUUAGAAAUAAAAUAGGGUUUAUUGAUGGGUCUUGUGUUAAGCCUGAUAUAACUUCACCUGAGUAUAAACAGUGGGAUAGAUGCAAUAAUAUAGUUAUAUCGUUGCUGACUAGUUCAUUAUCUCCGGACAUAGCUGAAAGUGUCCAAUAUUCUAAGACAACUGAAAGUAUUUGGAAACAAGUAAAUAGUAGAUAUGGUAGUGUGAAUGGGACUAAAGUAUUUGAAUUAAAUAAAGAGAUUAAUUCUACUUAUCAAGGCUCGCUGGACAUUACUUCAUACUUUAACAAACUUAAGAAAAUAUGGGAUGAACUGGGGGUAAUGUGUAGUGGUCAUGCAAAUUUAUGCAUUUGUGCUGCUAAAGAGGGUCUUCAAAAGGAGAAAGAAGAGGACACAAUUCAUUUAUUUAUUAUGGGACUUAAUGAAGUAUACGUGGGUGUUAGAAGCAAUCUGUUGAUGAUGCAACCAUUACCAUCUCUAGAUAAUGUUUACAACAUUCUUCUCCAAAAUGAAAAUAGAGGCAAAUUAGUCCAACACUUCCAUUUGCUUCUGAGUCAGCUUCUUUAAUGUCAAUUCUGGUACAAAUAAGUUUGUUCAGCCUCAACCUAACAUUCAAUUUCAGGGACAUCAAAGACAAUUCAAUCAGAGAGUAAAUUUUGAAUAAUCUAAAGCUAGUACCUUUUGCAAAUAUUAUAAAAAAUCUGGGCACUCAAUUGAUAAGUGCUACAAGCUUAAUGGGUUCCCUCUUAACUUCAAGUUUUCCAAAGGAAGAAAAACAGCUUCAAAUGAGGUUAUAGAUUCUCAUUCUUCUGCUCUUGAGCAUCUUACUCCCAAUCAGACACCUCUUCAUGAUGCGGCUACUACUGAUCAUGAUUCUAUAAUACCUAGUCUUACUAAACAACAAUAUUCUCAGCUGAUCUCACUGCUCCAGCAAACUAACGUCUCUGAUAUUGGGCCUCAACUCAACGUCAUGAGUUCUGCCAAUUUUGCUGGUACAGUACUGCCUAAGAAUGUAGUUUAUAGUUUCAAAUCUACUUUGCUGAGUAAAUCAGAUUCUCUGACUUGGAUAGUUAAUUCUGGUGCAUCCCACCAUAUGACUUUUAAUAAAGACUUUCUUAUUAACAUUACUCCACUACCUAUUCCUUUUCUUGUCUCUCUUCCAAAUGGUUCUAAAGUUAAGUUUACCUGCACAGUUCCUUUGUCUUGGCUGAAUCUAUCAUUCUUCAAAAUGUUCUUUAUCUUCCCUUUUUUGAGCAUGAUCUAAUCUCAGUACAUAAGCUUACAUAAUAAUUUGAUUGCAUAGUUCAGUUUAUUAGACUUUCAUGCAUCAUGCAUGGCCCUUCUCUGAAGAAGCCUCUGGAUCUUGGUAAAUUGGACACUGGAUUGUACAAGUUUGUAUGGGAGAAACCUUCCCAAAAUCAGGCUACCCUGUCAAAUGUAUGCAGCGGCUUGUCAUCCAUGUGUGAUUCUAGUUCUUUUCCUUAUUCUGUACAUAGUGUCUCUUCCACCUGUAAUAAAGCUGCUAUGAAUAAAACUGAUAUUAUUUGAAAUCAUAGGCUUCCUCAUGUUUCUUUUGCUAAGAUGAAAAUUAUCCCUAAAAUAUCUUCUGUUAUUUUAUCUACACAGUCUUUUCCAUGCACUAUUUGCUCAAUGGCUAGGAAUACCAGGCUACCAUUUCCCAAUCGUUCUAUUCAUAGUUCUAAACCUUUUAAACUUAUCCAUGUUGACACUUGGGGGCCAUACCACACUCUUACCUAGUCUGGUUCUAAAUACUUUCUUACCAUUAUGGAUGAUUUUUCUAGAAGUACAUGGACCCAUUUAAUGGGGUCUAAGAGUAAUAUUUUUUCCCUUUUGAAAACUUUUGUUACAAUGGUUAAGACUCAGUUUCAUGUUACCAUCCAGAAAGUAAGAUCUGGCAAUGCUUUAGAACUGGGAGCUAGUAAUGCUGCUAUUGCUUUUUUCUGACCAAGGAAUUAUUCAUCAAACUAGUUAUCCCACACACCUCAACAAAAUGGUGUGGUGGAACGAAAACAUAGAAUCCUGCUUGAAGCAUCUAGAGCCUUACUUUUUCAAUUAAAGGUUUCAAUAAGGUUCUGGGGUGACUGUUUACUUACAACUACUUAUAUUAUAAACAGACUUCCCUCUCCAUUACUUCACAACAAAUCCCCCUAUGAGUUGUUGUUUGGCAAGGCACCAAGUUACUUUCAUUUGAGGACUUUUGGAUGUCUUUGUUAUGCCAUUGUCCUAAUUCCACAUAGAGAUAAACUAAAGCCUAGAUCUAUGCCUUGUGUCUUCCUUGGCUAUCCUUUUCCAAAGAAUGGUUAUAAAUUGUACAAUUUGCAGUCUUACCAAUGCUUUGUUUCUAGAGAUGGUCUCUUCCAUGAACAUCAUUUUUCUUUUUCCCUUGACUUUCCUUUUCUAAAAUCAUGGCACCAACAACUUCCAAGCUUCCAGUUACUCCUGAUCCCCCUUUCUCGCUUGAUGAUUCUCUUUUUGUUCCUUUAUUUGUCACUUCUACUGAUAACUUCCCUAUCUCCAGUCAAGCUGUGUCUCCUUCUUCUCCUCUUCCUGUUUCAUCUUCUCCUACUACACCUGUUAAUUCCUUCCCUGAGCGUUCCUCUCCUUCCCUUUCUUCUUCUUUUAGUCUUAAAACUGUUACUUCUUCUUCAUCAACUCAUAUCCCUCCUAUAACUCUCAGAAAUCUUGCAGGCCUCAUACCCAACCUUCUUAUUUGAAGGAUUACAUAUGUCAACUUCCUACUUCCUUUUCUGGUUCUACUACUCAGCAAGUAGACUUUGAACGUUAUACUUAUUCUCAAUCAAUCCCUAUUCCAGCAUGGCAAGAUGCCAUGACUAGAGAGUUUAAAGCUCUAAAAGCCAAUAAUACUUGGGACAUUAUUGAACUCACUAAGGGCAAGAAACCUAUUGGUUGCAAGUGGGUCUAUAAAAUCAAAUAUAAGGCUAAUGGUGAAGUAGAAAAAUAUAAGGCUAGGCUCGUGAUUAGGGGGGGUACACAAGUUGAAGGGGUAGAUUUCAAUAAGAUAUUUUCUCCUGUGGUAAAGCUUUCCACUAUUAAGUGCCUAAUUACAGUUGUUGUUAGGAAGAAUUGGCCCUUGUUUCAACUUGAUGUUAACAAUGCUUUUCUCCAUGGUGAUCUAGAUGAAGAAGUUUAUAUGAAGUUACCUCCUGGUUUAUCUGUUUCUUCUUCCUUUUCUAUUCCUUUUGGUUUUCAAGUUGAAGAAAUCUAUUUAUGGGUUGAGACAUGCUUCUAGGCAAUGGUAUGCCAAGUUGUCUCAAGCCCUUUAUUUUAAGGGAUAUCAUCAUUCCCUUAAUGAUUACUCCUUGUUCAUCAAGGGGUCUCCUAGUCAUUUAGUGAUCUUGGCAGUCUAUGUUGAUGAUAUAAAUCUUACAGGUGAUGAUUUGAAUGAAAUAUCAGACUUGAAGCAAUUUCUGGACAAUGAGUUUAAAAUCAAAGAUUUAGGUUUUUUGCAUUAUUUUUUAGGCAUUGAAGUUUCUACUUUGCCUACUGGUCUUCUCUUGAAUCAAAAGAAGUUUGUCACUGAUCUUCUAAAGGAAUAUGACUGUUUGGAAGCUAGUUCUAUUGUCAGUCCUUUGGAGUUAAACCAAAAACUGAAGGCUGAUGUUGGUGAUCCUUUGCCAAAUCCUGAAAGGUAUAGAAUUCUUGUUGGGAAGUUACUGUUUCUCAUCCAUACUCGUCCAGACAUUUGUUUUGGGGUUCAACAUCUGAGCCAAUUCUUACAAACCCCAAGGAUUCCUUAUAUGCUUGCUACUCUCCACCUUCUUAGGUAUGUAAGGGGCAUUGUUGAUAUUGGUCUCUUUUAUUUUAACUCUGUUGAUUUGUCUGUGAAGGCUUACUCUGACAGUGAUUGGGCUGCAUGUUCCGACACUUGCAAGUCUGUUACUGGUUUCUACAUUUUCCUGGGUGACAGUCUUAUUGCAUGGAAGUCUAAGAAGCAACCUGUGGUUUCCUUAUCUUUAGCUGAAUAUCGGGCACUCAGUAAGGUCGUGGCAGAGUUAGCAUGGGUAUCCAAAUUAUUGGCUGAUCUUAGUGUCUCUAUUUCUUAUCCCAUUUCUGUGUUUUGUGACAAUAUGACAGUGAUUCAUAUUGCUAGAAAUACGGUAUUCCAUGAGCGUACUAAACACAUCGAGGUUGACUGUCAUUUUAUCCGCAUCAAGUUGAGUGAAGGGUUGAUCCAGUUAUUUCAUGUCUCCACUACCAAUCAACUUCCAGAUUUGUUUACUAAAUCCUUUCCUGGGGUCCUUCAUUAGUCCUUUUUGGGCAAGUUGAAGGUGGUCUCCCCUCUAACUUGAGGGGGGGGGGGUGGGGGUGUUGGGCUUUCGGAAUACACAGCCUCAGACCUAAAGCAGAAAACAUGAGUCAUGCCCAGUUAUUUAUUCUGUACAUAGUUAGCAGUAGUUACUCUUUGUAACACUUAGACAAUUUAUUUUGUAGCCUUUGCUUGUAAUGUAUACUCAAUUUGUAAGACAUCUAGAUCGGGUUAUCGGGUUCAUAUAAAUACAUAAGGGCCGAGCUGUAUUAGGCAGGUCGUGCACUAUUCAGUCAUUUUUCUUGUGUUCUCUCUGUUACUAUCUGAUCAGAAAGAUCUAGAAGCCCUAAGCGACCAUUAACAAAUCCCUCCAUUUUACUCGAUUCUUCUACUAUUGGCAAAUUUAUACGAACCUAUCUAACUGAGCAUAUAAUUUAGAAAAGAAACGAACUUUUAAAAUAUAUAUAUAUAUAUAAUCUUAAAUAUGUCAUAACGUUUAUUUAUGUGGUUAUAAGACUUUUGAAAUUUGAACCUUAUGAUUUUAAACUUGCCAUAACAUUUGUGUGAUUAUAAAAAAAAAAUAAGAAAAAAUAAAAAAUGAAGUUAAUUCAAAUUUAGAAAAGGAUCCUUUUCUUUGAAAUAGAUAACUUUUUGUAGCAAGUGUAGAUUAGUAACCUAUAUAACAUGGAGUAUAAAUGACCUUAGUAUAGGUGGCAAAAUUGCAACAAUAUAAUGCAAAAGCUAAAAAUAAUAAUGUAUAAUGCUAUGGUGAAUGUUAAUUUAAAUCCGAAAAUGAAAUAAGUUUAUCCAAAGCUUCUGUAUAGCAGCAUCAUAUCCUCAUUACUAUUUCUUGAUCUUUUAUCCAAACCUCCACUUGUUAUAAUUUAUGAUAUUUCUUGCUUUUUUAAUUAUCUUCAGUCCAAUAGAAAACUGCAAAAUAUCCUCUUUGUCUUUAUGUUAAAGUAAUUGCCGUCAUAAACAACUUUUUACAUAAAAGUACUAUAUAUUGGAUAAACUCUGGAUAUUUGUUAUAUAUAAUAAUAGGACUUAAAAUAAAAGACCAAACACAAAAUGUCAUGCCAAAUUAAAGCCCAAUACGAUCUCUUUAUCCUUUCCUUUAAGGUUGAAUAGCGUCAUUGCUUUUGUCAUUAACACAUAUUAAAUAUACUAAUUAAAUGGAUCAUGGAUUAGUUGACAAAAGUGAACUUUGAUUUGUUGCAUGCCGAUAAAAAGUAAACAAGAAGGAAAUAUAAAGGAAAGAUCUCAUUUAUCAUGGGGUUGAACUGCAUAUAGCAGCCUUUGGCUCAAAAUAUUCGUGAUUUUUGGUCAACGAGUUGAAAGACAGAUUCAUGUUUAAAAAUAUACGAAUUCAUAAACAUUAUUCUAGUUAAAUGGCAUGUUCCAAUAUGAUUUUUAGACUCUUAAAGGCAAUGCAAGAAAGAACUAUAGUAUAUUAGAGGCAGAGCUCAAAUUUUAAGUUUAUUGAUUUUGAUAUCAGAAUAAGUAGUUUAUUGAGUCAUAAAUAAAUUAUUUAUAUAAAUAUAAUAUUUGAGCAAAACUACAGACACCAAGUGAGAAACUCAAUCCUAAAUAUUUUCGGCUCAAAUUCGAGUUUAACGGAACCCCAGUCCGAAUAUCGAACGUGAAGUGAGAAAUCUAAAAAGUAUCUUUUAGAAUCUCAACUAGGUGUUUUUUUUGCUUAUGUAAGGUCGUUUGACAAUUUGAAAUGUUUGAGUUUGCUACUCAGUUUACCAAUUUUUUUUAAGUACUUAUUUGAUGGGUAUUUAUUUUUGUAAAAACAACAAAUUUUUUUUUUUGAAGAUUUUUAAUUAAACUCACUUUUUCAAUUUCCUCUUUAAAAUAAUUGGCUGUGUUUGCUUCAAAAAUAUGUGAAAGUUUUGUAUUUUCUUAAAAGUUUUUGGAAAGGUUACAGAGUAGCUUUUUUCGCUCAAUUUCCUUUUCUUUUUUUUUUGUUUUCCACUCGAUAUUUAGUACCAUUUUGUGGUCCGACUAAAUUUUGAUUCGCGUCAAAAAAUGCUCCUUGACAGAGUCACAGAGACG
rnacentral:lncRNA from 1 species